CUGUCAAUUAUUAACAUGUAAAACAUAAUAAUAUACACUUAAACUACUACAGUAGUAAAACCAGUAAAACAACAAUACCUGCUAAAAAGAUUUGCUACCUCUUCACAUUCACGAGCAUUGUAGAACCAAAUCCCAUUUACUUCUUGGGAUGCAUUUCGAUAUAACAAAUACGGAACCUGAACUUCAAACUCAAAAUCUCCCAAAAGAUUUUCCACUAAAUUAUCUGCACAUAUACAAGAUAUUGAAGCUUAUCAGUGCAAAAACAUAUAUAAAAAGACAUGAAGGUUAGAAGACAUAACUAAAACUUAGCAACAACUGAUAAGCACAACAAGACAUGAAAUAUAACACUAGUUGUAAACAAGAUAGACACAUGGUAUCUAAAAAAUUGUACCAACCCCCUCUCCUGAUUGUCAUAAAACGGCCAAUAUUUAACCCUAGACAACAAAAUUGCAAAUACUCUAGCCUCUAUAUUAUUGGCAUAUAAAUAUUUUAGGUUAGGUACAUUAUAUUCUUCGUUCUAAAACCUCAAUUAUUAGCUAGUACUGUGAUAAAAUGAUUCAUCACUGAAAUUAAAACUAGGUCACGUACAAAUAAUCAAAACUGAAAUAGAAGCAACGAUAAACCAACCUGUAUUACGUCGAUUCAUCACAACAAACUGAAAUCGAGGCUGUGUGUUCCUGAAAAUUGAAAAAAAUAAUAAUUUCACCAACUUCAUGUGUAAUACAAUCUCCAAAACACCGAAUAUCAAAUGAAAAAAUGGAAAGCAUAAGAGAGAAAAGAAUCUAAUUUUAUUGACCUUUUGACGACGAACAGAGAUCCUUCAACAUCCUUACGACUCCAUUGGCUGAGAUCGAUGUUGAACUCGUAGAAGGUGACAUAAGCGGCCGUGAUGAGGAUCUCCUCAAUGAAUGGAUCGAUUCGCUGAAGAACUGUCAGGUUUAGGAGUUUUGUGCUCUGCUGGUCCAGAUUAGGCAUCAAUUUUCCGUUCUGCGACAUUUUUCGUAGUCCUUUCGGGCUCUGCCCCGAGCACAAGCCCCAUGGUUUUUCUGUGAGCUCUCUCUUUUGUAAAUAAAGUGUUUGAUGAGAUAGCCGAGAGAGAGUGAAAGAGUUGAACACCCAAACAAGGUGAGGUGAACAGUUUCGGAUUGAGACUCGAGAUUGAUCUUGCUUUAACGUCUUUCAAAUAUUUGGGAAAUAGCAUUUAUUUCUUUCAAUUUCUCUACUUUUUUUUUCCUUUAUGUCAUUUAGACCCAAAAAUUAGAUUUAUUAUAAAUUUAUAAUCAUAUUUUACCCAUUCACUAGUAACCCCUUUUAUUUUUGAAAUUUGUCAAUAUUAAUGUGUUAGAAUAAUGUUAGAAAUCCCAAUUAUUAUCUCAAUGUUUCAAUCAUAACUAAUGUGAUAACUCAUCGGUAACUGCAACAUUAACUUAAUUAUUAAUAUUUAUCAUGAAAUGAUGAGAUUAUUAUUCAAGAAAAAAUUAGUAAACAUCAAUGACUAAUAUAAUGUGACAAUUACAGCUGAAUAUUAGUACAAUAAUUAGGAUUCCUAAAGUUAGUGAUGUAUUAUAAUAUAUGUGUUAUACCACUUUAUGUCUCUCAAAUUCAAUUGAGUAAUUUCAUAUACCUGAGUACCUUUUAUUACAUUAAUUAAUUGGGUCCGCCUAACUUACGCUCAACGUAAGUUACGCUCAGCCCGUCCAAUUUCAUAUAGUCCCCCUAUACUCUAUACUAUUUAUAUUUUAUUCAUAAAUAUUAUAAAUUUUUUGAAAUGUAAAAUUUCAUUUAACCCCCUCUACUCAAUUUUAUUUUAUUAAAACCAUAGAGUAUGAAUUUGCCCCCAUAAUUUUAAAUUCUCAAAAUAACCCCCAUUUAAUUAAAAAUAUAAUUAUUUUUAAAUGAAUUAUAAUUAUAAUUAUAAUUUUAUUAUAAUCAUAAAUAUUUUUUUAAUAGAUUAUUGUUAUUAAAAUAAAAUUUUGUUUAGCCCCUCUACUCAAUUUUAUUUUAUUAAAACCAUAGAGUAUAAAUUCGCCCCCAUAAUUUUAAAUUCUCAAAAUAACCUCCAUUUAAUUAAAAAUAUAAUUAUUUUUAAAUGAAUUAUAAUUAUAAUUAUAAUUUUAUUAUAAUCAUAAAUAUUUUUUAAUAGAUUAUUGUUAUUAUUAAUAACGAUAAUAAAAAAUAUUAUAAUUAAUUAAUUAAUCUAUUAACAAUAAUUAAUAAUAUUUUUAUUAAAUUGUUAGUAAUAAUAAUAAUAAUUAAUGAUAAUCAACAUAUUUAUGAUUAUAAUAAAAUGGAAUAAACACUGAGUCUAUAUUUAUAUAGGAGACUCUUUUAUAUUUCUAUACAUUUUAAUUUCAAGUACUUUUAGGAUUUUUUUGUUACCUUCAUAAAUAAUGAUUUUGUAGGCAUCUCAUUAUUAAACGGUCAUUUUUAAGUGCUUCUAGUGUUGGGAUCGUAUUUAAUUGUGCUUUUCAGCUUUCUUGUCAUAACAACUAGGGUAUUACUCUUUCUCCAUAUCAAGCUUGAAGUUCUAAAUUUCAGUUUUAUCUUUUAUUUGAUGUUUUAUAAGUUCUAAAUUUCAGCUUUCUCUCAUAACAACUACGAACGUGUUAUGGUUUAGCUCAGUGACACAAAGGACAGUUUUCAACAAUUGAUCCUAGGAAGAUGCCCAUAGCUUGUUGUGCCAAAAAUAGAAAAUCUAAGAUGCGAAAAAAUUUUGUUGAGAUUCAUUUUUCAUCCUGAUGUUACAGCUGGCCUUUUUUUUUUUUUUUUUUGGCAGAGAAUAAUGCUUAUGUGAUUUCUGAACUUGGUUAUUGUUGAAAUGAGCUGAAAAUGAGCUGGAAAUGUGUUUGGUUAAUGAGAAAGAGAGCGAGAAAAUGAAAGAAAUCUAUUUCACUUUUUAUUUAUCAGAAUGAUUACAUUCACAAUGAAUCUAAGCUGAUAUUUAUACUUAAAUGAAUACACACGAGAUUCUUCUUGCUAGAUACUUCUAGAAACUCUACACGCACACUCACACUGAGCUAGUGGUUACUAAAACCGUUACAACAAUAUUGCCAGCUCAGCAUAACCAACUUAUAACUAACACACUCAGCUGCAGGGGAAACCAUCAAGCAUACGGUGCAUCCUCUGUAAUCAAGCUUCUUUAAGCAUGCUCUGCAGAUCAUACGUCUGAAUUAUCGAAACAAGAUGAAUUAUUUUUUGUUUAUUUUAGCAGGCGAUCUAUGAUCGGAAUUUCUUGCAACAAAAGAUGUGUGUCCACCAGCUUGUAUUCAAUUCGCGAACACAGUUUGAGAAGAAUCAGACCAUUAAUUUUCUUUUGAGCCAAUCAACAGAAUGUACAUUUCUUCUAAGAACCUGUAACCGAAACCGCAGUUUUUCAGGUUUGCUCCUUCCUCAUAGCAGUUAAUCAAACGAUAAACAGAGAUAUCCCAUGUCAACAAGAAGGUAAUCAUAAAAGAACAACAGAAUUGUUGCAACAUAUUCAUAUGAAAUGUAAAACAAUUUUGAGAAAAAAUAUUGGGAAGAUAUUUUUUUUUCAUAGAAGUUGCAAUCUUUACGUUAUUUACUAGUUGCAAUCAUACGCCUGCAAAGGAUGCCAGUUAAUUUUAUCACAAUUAGAUGGUAAGAUUGCAAAUUCUGCAGCCAAAGGUAGUACGGAGCUGAAUGAAGGAAAUCAAAUAUGAACAUGUUUUCAAUCUCAAAAUAUUAAGAGUAGCAUAAGUAACUUGUGAAACAGUCAUAAGUUCAAGGGAAUUAGAUGAUGGCAUGGUUGAAUUUAUAAAUAUUUGAUAUUUUGGACCGAACAGGGCAAACAGAUGGAUCCAGAUAAUUAAGAAAAACAUCAAUUCCAUGCAACCAAAUUAGUGUGUACAAUGCAAUUGCCUUUCCCUAUGAGAGUAGAGGGCCUAAGUACGCUGCCGUUUAGAGCUGAUGAGUUUGAUUCACCAGCAAGCCUCACACAAUAUCACUUGAGCAACACUAUAAAAUCAUUCAAAGAAAUCUCUAGGUCAGUAUCCAAAUAUGUGGCUCCGUCAGUUCCACCACAACCCAAAAUAUCAGAUCCCCCCAUUUGGAUUCGACUGAUCAAUUUGAGCAUAUAAAAUCGGGUUUUAAACUUCCCUAAUUAAAAUUUAUAUUCCACAGAAUCGUUUCCUUUAACAUGAUGCAUUACAUAAUAUUUUGUUUGCAAAAUAAAGAAGAAAGAUGACAUAAUAGAAACACUCACAGAGAGAGAAUACCUUUGACGAAAAGCUUAGAAGUGAAUCCUCUGUAAAAUACGAGUUGAGCUGCUGAAUUUUUCGAGUUUGAAUGAGAGACUGCGCCGUUUCUGAAAAUGUUUUUUUCUCAGUAGCGCCGCCAUUUUUGUAAUAGAGGGUAAAGAAAUAAGUAACAGAGUAAGAGGUGAGCAGAAACGGCCCAAUUUAGUUAUAUGCCAUGCAUGCGAUCAAAAUUGAAUGGUUAAAUGGCAGCCACUAUGUUACAUCUUGUGUAAGUAACAAACCGCCUACAUGGAUCGUUGGAUUUGGGAAUAUGAAAUCCAAUGGAUAAUAUUGAAUUUAACGAAAAAUAGAUUACAGGUUGCAUUAGUCCAAGUUUAUUUCAAACAAACCAGCUGACGAAAUAGCCGCUAAUCAAAUUUAAAAGGGAAAAAAAUUCAAAUUAUAGGUUAUAGAUCUUAUUUCCAUCUUAAAUCUAUUUGUCUUUCAUGGUGUCUCAAUGUGUAUACUAAUUUAUAAUUUGGAUUUAUAUUAGAGCUAAUGCUUCCCUAAAUAACUAAGAAAAUUUUCUUUUCAUUGAUUUAAUAUUUAUUUCCAAUAUCUUGUAUAUGUAGGAUUUGAAAAGAGGAAAAAUAGUAGGGAUGAUAAUGAGAGAAGAUAAAGGUGUCGAUUCUCAAAUCUAAUAUUAAUGCUAUACUUAUAUUCCUAUACUAAAUAAAUUAUCCAAGGUUCGUGGUUAACAAUACGUUGCAAAAUUUUAAUUUCUAUUUAAAGCUCUGUCUAAUAUGACUUUUCAUAAAGCUUAGAGAAAAGUAGAGCUUUUACCAAAAAAAAAUAAUUAUUAGAAUUGUCAAUGAUAAAUUUUAAAAAGUACUUUAAUAAAUAAGCUUUUAAAGUUAUAUAUAUUAUGAAAGAAAUGAAAUAAGAUUAUAUAAUAAAUUAAGAGUAUCUUAGAUAAUUGAACUUAAAAAAAAAAACUCGCUAAGAGGUUUAAAAUUUGAGUUUUAAUAGUGGAUACAAAAUAGUUUAUUUAAUUCUCAAAAGCUCUACUCAAAAUAGUUUAUUUAAUUCUCAAAAAAUAUUUUUUUCAUUGAGUAAAUAAUACUAAACAUGCACUAAAGUGUUAGGACCAGAAGUUGUACAAAAAAUGAUGGCUACAACUUAAAUUAUGAAUGGAGUAAUCGGAGAAUAUUGAAACCCGUUUAAUUUGGAUCGUGCAUUGAGGGACGAAAGGAUAAAAAAUUUAAUUUUGAAAUUGCUGUUGGGUACGGUACAAUGACUUACCGUUGACAGCUUUUGCAACCGGAUUACAAUCGGUUAGUUCAAUAAUUUUAUAUCCCCAUUUAACCGCCAUGUGCUGCUGUUACAUGGGUCAAUUAGUCAUGUCAUUACUGUUACUUACAGAUGCCGCAACAUAACCGGACCCUGGUUAAAUUCUGUUGUUUCCAAUAAUUUUAUGCUGUAUCUUCUUUAAUAAUAAAGAAAACUUGCAUUAAAAUUAAAAUUAGGGUAAUACCUGAUUUUAUAAAUAGAUUGCAAUGUAAUUUUGAAAAAUAAAACAAUAAUUUACAAAAUGUUUAUAACAUAAUUUUAAUUUUUUUCAAAAAGGAAAAACAACAAAAGUAAGAAAUAGAGAAUUAGGGCUACAAACUUUGUAUCUUAAACGGCCGUUAGAUUAUUUGUAAAUGAAAGCAACGGUCAGAUAUUGGUGGAUUAUGGAAACAUGUAAUCAUAAGGACUACGAGUUUUUUUUGUUACAUUGAUAUAUUACAAUCAAAAUUCUAUUGGUAUUUACAAUCAGAAUUUUAUUUGACUAUCUUUGAUAAUUCUAAACUAGUACAACCCAAAUUCUUAUUCUCAUAUAAUAUCAAAGAGAGAUAUAUAUUCUUCUCCUCUAUUAAUAAAGAGACAUUUUUACUUCCUUUUAAUAGUUAGGACUCAGAACUCAUACACGCUAGUUUGAGAGUGUGGGGUGUGACAAUGGGCCAAGAGACCAUUGACAAAUACAAAAGAGUGGUAGAAAUUAAUUCAAACCGCUACACACGCUAUUGCAACCAAAUUGAGGGCACAUUUUUGUUUAUUUAGUUGAAAAGUAGUCUGUAAAAUUAACUCAAACCGCUACAUACGCUAUUGCAACCCAAUUGAGGGCCCAUUUUGUUUAUUUUGUUGAAAAGUAGUUUGCGCAAUUAAUUCAAACCGCUACACACGCUAUUGCAUCUUUUGAAAAAGAAAAAUGGAAUAAUUUUUCAAAAUUAAUUUAGAGAAUAAGAUUUACUAAUAAUGAUGUUAGAAAUCUUGAUAUUUGAAUCUUAAUAUUAUCUAUCACUCAUUUAUUAAAUAAUAGAUUUCAUAGUUUGUAAAAUUACUUAACCACUUGAUAAAUGUUAUAUUUGUUGGGACUAGAUUGGGACUUAAAUAUUGGAAUAUCUAGUAUUGCAUAAAAAAAAACUUAACAAUUUAUCUUCACACGACUAAUUGUUUUUACAUCACAACUAACCUUAAUUAUUUUAAAAGUUAUAGUAUUAUUAAAUUGCCCUAACUAGUUAUCAAAAGGUGAAACCAUGUUUUAAAAAGAAAUUACUAAGAAACAUUUGUUUAAACGAAGGUUAAGGUUAUGAUCAAUUAAUUAAGAAGAAACUUACUAUCAAAGGUUAAGAUUAUGAACAAUUUAAGGAAGUUAUUGAGUAGAGAAAGGGACAGAAUGGUUGUCUGAUUUGUCGGUGACAAGAAUGCUUGUGUUGUGAAAAGAAAGCCGAUGGUUUGUAAAUUUGUUGAAUUUUUCGCUCGCUUCAAUGACUUGCUUAUGCCCAAUAUAUUACUUUGCACAGUAGUAUUUGGGAUCCUAACAAUCAACUCUUAAUUUGGUCCCAAUUAGUAUAGUAAUCAUCUAUUGAGCGGUAAAAUAUUAAUUCUAAUAGUCAUGAAAUCCAAUAUAUAAUAGAUUAAUAACACACAUAAAUUAAAACAUAACUGUCUGAAAUCAUAACAUUACUCUACUCUUCAGUGAAGUUCUCUUAAACUGAUUAUGUGAAAGCAAUAUUCGCUUUUUGAUUAUAUCCAUAACUUUGAAUUGAUAAAGUUGUAUUCAACAGCUCUUGAAAAGACUAAGCAGGUCUUCUUUGCAUUUGAUCACUGGCAUUUCAGUUAAGUUUGUCACUUACUUAAAAUUUUCUUGCUUUCAAUUUCCACUGUUAUUUUUUUUUAAUAAAAUAAUUUAUUUAAACUAGUCAUAGAAAUAAGAGAGAAAAGGGGUCAUUUCUUGACUCAAAGUCAAUUAUAAUUAUCAAAACUUGAGGGGACAUCGCAUGCCUAAAUUCCACGCACCCUAAAACGGUUUGAUUUGCUUUCACGCGUUCAUGAAUUUCCAUGAAAGAGCCUGCCUUUCGUCUCUUUCGGGACAAUGACUACAAUUAUGGAAAAAAUUAUAAUUCUCGUUAGAUUGUAACCAAAUUAUUAUCCCUAAUUUUUUUAAGUUAAAUAAAAUAAAAUUCAUGCCUAAGUAUUUAGUAAUUAGAGAGAGAUAGAGAGGAUUGAGGGCCAAUGUUUCACGAUUUGGGGUCAAUUCAAAGUCAACUAACGUGUAAAACACGUGUAUGCAUAGAAAACGCUUAGAUUAUUUGUGUUCCAAGUGCAAGAAAUUAAGAAAAGAAAAAUUGAUUUCCUUUCAUGAACUUCCAAGAAAGAAAGAAGACCCUUCACCUUCUUCGUUACAACAAAUGAAUGAAUGAUGUUGAUAUGACAAAUACAAGCGCUAUUACAGGGAACAGCAUAAGACUGAGACUUGAUAAAGUGUUUGUUAAAUUACAUGUUAUUUUCUUUUAACUUGAAUGAUGUUGAAAAUAAAAUAAAAUAAAAUUGUAAUCAGGGUGAUGUGUGGAAUAUAGUGAAAUAAAUAAAUAGAGAAGAGAAAUUUGUUGAUCAAUAUUAAAGACACAUCCAAAGUGAUCGUCAAAGUCUAGAGGUUCGGUAUGAUUAGCAUUUAUUUUAUUUUUUUUGGCUUAGCAUCAUAUAUAGUCACCUGUCGUGUGAUCUAGGACAGGUUUAGAAAUCCUUUUAUUUUAACUUCUGUAUUCUUAUUAUUUAAUUAGUUAUAGGGUUUUUAAGUAUUUGAGUAUUGAUCACAUGUCUCCUAAUCUAAAAAUAUGUUUUUACGAGUACAAAUAACAAACUAGGAUUUUAACAGCCUUUUAUACUAAACCCUAAAAAUACAUGAAUUUAUCAAAAUAAGUAAAUUAAUUUAAAUUGGUAUGGCAUAGUAGAAGUUUUACCUGCCGAAACAAAUUAAAAAAAUAUUACACUUAAAUCAAAUAUUGACAAAAAUAGAUAACAAUCUAAUGAGAAUCUUAACUAGACAUUUUUACUUCUAUCCAAUUUAACUGGAAUGAGAAUUAAGUCCUGUCAAUAGUUAGGACUCAUAACUCAUACACACUAAUUUGAGAGUGUGGGGUGUGACAAUGGGUCAAAAGACCAUUGACAAGUAUAAAAGAGUGGUCGUAAUUAAUUCAAACCGCUACACACGCUAUAUUGAGGGCCCACUUUUGUUUAUUUCGUUGAAAAGUAGUUUUCACAAUUAAUUCAAACUGCUACACAUGCUAUUGCGUUUUUUUUUUUUUUUUUUUGAAGGGAAGCAAUUUCAUUAAACCAAAACGAAUUACAGACUAUGUAAUAACCACAAAGGUGGAACGAAAUUCCACUCUUGGGGACCUGACAUAGAACCUACUGCCCUUGCAACAGAGUGAGCAGCCAGGUUCGCAGACCGACGUACAAACGAGAAUUGUACUUCUCUUAAAGACUUAGCUAAAGCUCGACAUUCAUCAACUAUUAAACCAAAACCGUUAGGCCCUGAAAACUCCUCAACUAGAGCUUGAAAUACUUGUAAACAAUCAGUUUCAACAAUGACACAAGGAAAUUGUAAGCCUUUAAGCCAACUAAGGGCCUCCCGAAUACCAAGAGCUUCAGCCUCCCUUGCUCCAAAAUUCCCAGCCAUUCCAGCACAUCUUGCUGUUAAGAAAACACCCUCUGAAUUUCGAAGCACACACCCAAAACCAAUAUUUCCCUGAGAUGAAAAGAUAGCAGCGUCAACAUUACAUUUGACCCAACCAAACUUUGGCCUCUCCCAACAUAUUGCCCCAUGGACCAGCUUAUGGACAUCAGUAUCAGCAUAGAAUUGUUGCUUCUUUGCUGCUUGCCACUGAUAGAGAAGUUGCCCAGCAGAAUUGAGCACUUGAUUCACUGAAUCAGUUUUGUUAUUCCAUACUUUGUCAUUCCGAUUAAUCCAAACUCUCCAGCAGAUCAUCAUGGCAACAUGGCAUUCUUCUUUGCUGCAGCGUGUAAAGAUGUGAUCAAGCCACUCUAAGAAAGAAUAACAAUGGCCAACAAAACCCACAGAGGAAGAAAUCCAGCAAGCCUUAGCAACAUUACACUCAACCAACGAAUGGAGAAUAGUUUCAUCAGAAGCAAGACACACAGCACAAGUAGGGGGGAUAUUCACCCUCUUAGAAAUUAAAUUAACUGCAGUAGGCAGCACAUUAGUUGCCGCUCGCCAAACAAAAUUCUUAACCUUAUUCGGCACAUUCAAGUUCCAUAGUUUUCGCCACACAUCUGUGAAAGGGUCAGGGGUAAGAGAAUGUAAAACCUUAUAACAGCUACGGACUGAAUAGCAUCCGCGAGAAUCAGCCAACCAAUACCACACAUCAUCAUUUCGGCGGGAACUAAGGGGAAUUUGAAGAAUCAACUCCUUGUCUCUUGCGUUGAAAAGAUCCGAAACAAGAUCAUAAUCCCAAGCUCGUUGAUUAGGCACCAGUAAACUACUAACAGGAGCUGCAGCAAGCUCGGCAUGGAGAUUAGAAGGAACAAAUCCAUUAUUAGUAUCAGGAAGCCACGGAUCCUUACCAAUGAAGAUCGAAUUUCCACAGCCAACUUGCAGUCUACUCCCUUGAAUUACCACAUCCUUUGCAGCCAAAAUAGAGCGCCACACAUAGCUAGGAUUAUGCCCCGCAGAAGCUUGAAGAACAGAGGUGCGCGGAUGGUAGCGAGCUUUAAUUAUCUUGGCCACAAGAGAUUCCGGACAAGUUAACAGCUUCCACAUUUGCUUUCCUAACAUCGCUAUAUUGAAUAAAUGAAGUUGUUUAAAACCAAGGCCACCAUAUCCUUUUGGUUUGCACAGAUUUUCCCAUUUGGACCAGUUUAAAAAAGAAAAAUGGAAUAGUUUUCCAAAAUUAAUUCAGAGAAGAAGAUUUACUAAUAAUGAUGUUAGAAAUCUUAAUAUUAUGUAUCACUCAUUUAUUAAAUAAUAGAUUUUAUAGUUUGUAAAUUUACUUAACCACUUGAUAAAUGUUAUAUUUGUUUGAAUUGAUCCAAUAGCUCUUGAAAAGCACAUAAUAAUCAUUAUAAAUUUAAUCAAAGACUAAGCAGGUCUUCUUUGCAUUUGAUCACUGGCAUUUCAGUUAAGUUUGUCAUUUAUUUAAAUUUUUCUUGCUUUCAAUUUCCACUGUUGUUUUUUUUAAUAAAAUAAUUUAUUUAAACUAGUCAUAGAAAUAAGAGAGAAAGGGCGCCAUUUCUUGACUCAAAGUCAAUUAUAAUUAUCAAAACUUGAGCGGACAUUGCAUGCCUAAAUUCCACGCACCCUAAAACGGUUUGAUUUGCCUUCACGCGUUCAUGAUUUUCCAUGAAAGAGAGUGCCUCUCGUCUCUUUCCGGACAGUGACUGCAAUUAUGUUAACGUGACGAAUACAAAACGUUAUUACAUACAAGAAUAAGUUUUUGGAGCCGAUACUUGAGGGAGGUUCUAUCUAAUUCUAAAGAUUGUAACCAAAUCAUUAUCCCUAAUUUUUUUAAGUUAAAUAAAAUAAAAUUCAUGCUUAAGUAUAAAUAAUUUUUUUAAGUUAAAUAUAAAAUAAAAUUCAUGAACUUCCUAGAAAGAAAGAAGACCCUUCACCUUCUUCGCGACAACAAAUGAUGUUGACAUGACAAAUACAAGCUCUAUUACAGGGAACAGCAUGAGACCGAGACUUGAUAAAUAUUAAAUAUAUAAAAUAAGUGGAGCAAACGAACAGAAUAAUAGAUAUUUUAUAAUAUUCUUCAUAAAAAUCCAUGUUUUGAGCCUGCCUAUAAGCUUAUCUAGUGAAGUCUGGGUAUCCGCGUUGCCCAAGGUUCCGUUUGAAUCCAGGCCGUGUAGAUGUUUAAGACAUCGCAUAUGGACGGAGUGGAAAUAUUUUCAGUUGACUGAAUUAAAUAAAAAUAUAUUACAAUCAUAUUAUAUAUUAGCAGCAAAAAUAAAAAGAAAUGAAGAAAAACGCAUGCAAGACUUAGACAAGUCAAUUAAAAGCUGGGAGUAUCAUCAGUUCAAUUGGUUAUAAAUAGCGUAGAGCCAUCCUCUCGUUGUUGCAGAACUGAAGCAAAGAGACUCAGAAAGAGUGUGUGUAGGUGAUUAUAAUUAAGAAGAUAUAAUGUGUGGUUCAAAAAGAGUGUGGGUGAGUGAGUUAAUUUUCAUAUUAUUAGUAGUAAAAGGGUGGUGGAGUGAGGGAUGUUUGGAGCAAGAGAGGUCUGCUCUCCUACAACUCAGACAUUUCUUCAAUGAUGAUCAACUUCUUCAAAACUGGGUAGACGAUGAGUAUUAUUCAGAUUGUUGUCAGUGGGAACGGGUUGAGUGCAACAACACCACUGGAAGAGUGAUUGAAUUACAACUACUAGAAACUCGAAAACAGGGAUCAGCAGAGUGGUAUAUGAAUGCCUCUCUGUUUACUCCAUUUCAACAAUUAGAGUCUCUUGAUUUAAUGGGGAACAAUAUAGCCGGUUGUGUUGAAAAUGAAGGUCCUUAAUUUACUCUAUUUUAAUUCUUCCUCGUAAUUUCUUACAUUUAUCUGAUCCCUUUUGAUUUUUGUUUAAUUUGUUCGUGAUACAAUAAAAUUACUUUUUAUUUUUUGUCAGGUCUAGAUAGGUUAUCAAGGUUGAACAACUUGAAGUUUCUUUACUUAAACCUUAACCACUUCAACAACAGCAUCUUUUCAUCCAUAGGUGGUCUUUCAUCACUCAGACGCUUAUCAUUGGCUAGUAAUGAAUUGAAUGGAAGUAUUGAUAUUAAAGGUAAGCAAGCUUCAUCCCUUCUCCCGUGUCCCAUCUUUUGUGGAUCUUAUUUUAUUGACCGGCUGGAAGUAUUGAUAUAAGAUCUGGCUAGACUCUUGCUAGUUUAAGCUUCAAGGAUUUAAAUAUUAUAAAAAUAGGUUUAAGAAAUUAUCAAUAUAUGCAAUUUUCAAUGCUUCUCAUAAUCAGACACAAUUCAAUCUAAUUAUUUUGUAUGUCCUGUCUUCAAAAGUAAAGAAUUGUACACUAAAUGGAAAUCGACAUCGUAGCUUUUUAUUUUUUCUAAUGCUCUUUUUUCGUUAACGAGUUUAUAUCCUAAGAGGGAUUGGAUUGAAAAAAAAAAAGUUUUGAUGUUCAAGGUAGGCCAUAAUAACCCGCAUCUUAUUUGUCUGCCUGUAUCUAAAUUUGUGCACUGAAUUUAGUAUUUUGGUUAUUGUGAAGGGAUCAGAUAUUGGCUUCCAUAGACCAACUUGUAUUUAGUUAAUUAAUUAAUUAACGACAUUUAAUAUUUAACAAAUUAAAAUUUCGUGUUUAAUCUAUUUUAAUUUUUUUAAGAAAAAAGAAAAAGAUAUAGCAAUAGGUAAAGCUAAAAUAAAUUUUAAUUCCUUACAAAUUUAAAUUCAUGGUUGUCAGCUAAAUAUACUUACUUAAAGCCACUCAGUCGAGCCCUUUGAGAGCUGCUUUAAAUUUUUAGCCAUAUUCUUUUCUUAUUAAUAAAAUUCUUUUCGCUGAGAUUUAACAUAAAAAAAGGAGAAAAUAAGUUAUUUAAUUAACUCUGUUUUAAGUGUUGGAAUAAAUACAGGACUGGAAUCCUUGAGUAACUUGGAGGAGCUGGGCAUGAGCGACAAUGCAAUCGACAAUCUAGUGGUUCCUAAAGGUAUACAAAAUGUUCAAAUAUUAAUAAUUUGGAGGACAGUUUAAUUGAUUUGAUUAGGGAAUGCCCAAUGACACUUACCCAAAAUAAUUUAAUCCGAAAUUGUAUCCCAAAUAGAUUACAGAGGUUUGAGGUAGUUGAAUACCUUUUAUUUGGGGAGGGGGGGGGGGGGGGGGGGGGGGGGGGGGAGGGAGGGAAAUUGCAGUGAUAUAUGGAAGCAAGGUGUUGCAAUAAAUAAAGAAAUUCGUUGGUCAAUAUUCAAGGACUCAUCCAAAGUAAUCGUUAAAGUCUAAAGCUCUGCUCUCCUCCAACUCAAACAUUUCUUCAAUGAUGAGAAUUAUUCAGAUUGUUGUCAGUGGGAAGGGGUUGAGUGCAACAACACCACUGGCAGAGUGAUUAAAUUAGAUCUAGGAGCCACUAGGAAUCGGGAAUCAGCAGAGUGGCAUAUGAAAGAUAACUAGAACUUGGAAUAACUUAAAUUAGCUAUAAAAUUAAGACCAUUAUACAACUAAAAAGAAAGAAAAAUUGUUUGCUACUACAUAUCAAAACUAGUAAUAGCAAUGAAAGAUGGCAGACUUCUUACUUAAACAGAUGAGAGGCUACAAAUAAAAAAUUUGUGCAAAUAAAUAUAUGAUAAAGAGCAUAAUACUUUCUUGGGGGCUAAAAAUAAUAUACAACUUGUGAAAUAUAAAUUGAGCUACCAUUACCUUUUAGAUGUGGCAACUUUCGACUUUUGAGGCACUUUGGAAUAUGCAUUCAGAAUCCUGCAUUUGGAAGCCAAAUAAAUAAUGUUAAUAACAAUUUUACAAUAGAAAAAUUAAAAAUUGAUAAAUGGCAGUUGUAAUUUAUGUAUGUGUAAAGAUAGCAUCACAUCCAGGGUCCUCCCAUAAACAUGCUUGUAACAAGAAUUAGUUUGCGUCAACUGCUAGCAACUAUACAAUAGUAAAAAUCACUCUUAUGAACUCAACAAUACUAGGCACCAAUAAGAGUAUGAUACAGCCAUUCUAAAUGGAAGAGAAUACAACUGUUUUACAACUAUGUUGCAUCAGGAGAUAUGUUAGGAGUUUUAAUCCAGAUACCUUCCAACCCAAUUAGGAAAACUCGAGUCAGAAACCAGGAGCUGCAACUGAACCUUACAAUCUUGAAGGAAGAAGGAGACUUGGGGCAUUUUUCUAGAUAGGUGACUUACUAGAUCUACUGCCAAGAAAAUAUCUAUUGCUUUGAACCUCCAUUGAAAUUUCUUUUCCCUUUUUCUUAUUUUGACUUGGAACUUUCCAGCAUCAUCUAUUUGAUCUUUUUUAAAGCUAAAAUAGCAAUCUACGGGUUGUCAACAUCUUAUCCCCCCCCCCCCCCGGGGGCCCCCAAAAAAAAAACAUCAAUGAGUUGUCAAUAAAUAGCGCCUACUCAACUUAUGUUCUCCAAUGGAUGACAAUGUGCAAAUCGACCUAGCAGCCACAUUUUCCCCCCCUUUCAACCACCAUUAGGCAACUUUUCUAACCUUUCUUCAUUGCCCACGUCUACAGAACUAUCAUAUAAAGACUACAAGAUAGACGCACGGUAUCUAAAUAAUUGUACCAACCCCCUCUCCUGAUUGUCAUAAAACGGCCAAUAUUUAACGCUCGACAACAAAAUUGCAAAUACUCUAGCCUCUAUAUUAUUGGCAUAUAAAUAUUUUCGGUUAGGUACAUUAUAUUCUUCGUUCUAAAACCUCAAUUAUUGGCUAGUACUGUGAUAAAAUGAUUCAUCACUGAAAAUAAAACUAGUUCACGUACAAAUAAUCAAAAACUGAAAUAGAAGCAACGAUAAACCAACCUGUAUUACGUCGAUUCAUCACAACAAACUGAAAUCGAGGCUGUGUGUUCCUGAAAAUUGAAAAAAUAAUAAUUUCACCAACUUCAUGUGUAAUACAAUCUCCAAAACACCAAAUAUCAAAUGAAAAAAUGGAAAGCAUAAGAUAGAAAAGAAUCUAAUUUUAUUGACCUUUUGACGACGACGAGAGAGCCUUCAACAUCCUUACGACUCCAUUGGCUGAGGUCGAUGUUGAACUCGUAGAAGGUGACAUGAGCGGCCGUGAUGAGGAUCUCCUCAAUGAAUGGAUCGAUUCGCUGAAGAACUGUCAGGUUUAGGAGUUUUGUGCUCUGCUGGUCCAGAUUAGGCAUCAAUUUUCCGUUAUGCGACAUUUUUCAUAGUCGUUUUGGGCUCUGCCCCGAGCACAAGCCCCAGGGUUUUUCUGUGAGCUCUCUCUUUUGUAAAUAAAGUGUUUGAUGAGAUAGCCGAGAGAGAGUGAAAGUGUUGAACAGCCAAACACGGUCUCGAGAUUGAUCUUGCUUUAACUUCUUUUAAACAUUUGGGAAAUAGCAUUUAUUUCUUUUAGUUUCUCUACUUUUUUUUUCCUUUAUGUCAUUUAGACCCCAAAAUUAGAUUUAUUAUAAUCCUAUUUUACCCAUACACUAUUAACCCCUUUUAUUUUUAAAAUUUGUCAAUAUUAAUGUGUUAGAAUAAUGUUAAAAAUCCCAAUUAUUAUCUCAAUGUUUCAAUCAUAACUAAUGUGAUAACUCAUUGGUAACUGCAACAUUAACUUAAUUAUUAAUGUAACACAAUAAAAGUUUCGUACAGAUUUUGAUAUUGAGAGUAACACAAUAAAAGUUUCAUACAGAUUUUGCAAACGAAAAGCACAUAAUACACUUAACUAGGAGGAAAAAUUAAGGUGUAUAUAUUACAAACUGCUAACAAUAUACAAUUGUAAAAAUCACUCACAAAUACUAGGCACCAAUAAGAGUAUGAUACAGCCAUUCUAAAUGAAAGAGAAUACAACUGUUUUACAACUAUGUCACAUCAAGAGAUAUGUUAGCAGGAUUAAUCCAGAUACCUUCGAACCCAAUUAACGAACUCGAGUCAGAAACCAGGGGCCCCCAACUAAACCUUACAAUCUUGAAGGAAGAAGGAGACUCGUGGUCCAGAUAGGUGACUUACUAGAUCUCCUGCAAAAGAGAAUAUCUAUUGCUUUGAACCUCCAUUGAAAUUUUUUUUUCCCUUUUUCUUGUUUUGACUUGGAACUUUCCAACAUCAUCUAUUUGAUCUUUUUUGAAGGUAAAAUAGCAAUCUAUAGGUUGCCAACAUGUUAUUCUGCCAAACCCCACCCCACCCCCCCGGGGGACAACAAAUCGACCUAGCACACACCUUUCUUCAUUGCCCACACCUACAGAACUAUAAUAAAAAGACUACGUUACUAUUGGGGUAGAGAAAAUAUACAGACUGUAUUAUUAUUACAUCGCAUUUUACUAAUUAACUAGUGCAAGACUUCUUUAGUGUCAAAUCAAGAACUAAUUAGAAAAGACAACUCAUGAUAAUACAGACCUUAAUAAGCAAUUGCUAACAACAUCCCAUAUACUCCUAUUUUAGCCUUCAUUAUCCUGGUAAAAACACAAAUAAGUCUUGCAAACGAACAUUUAUAAGUAAAUUCAACAUUAAUUAAGAUUAGGUAUCUACUGCACCUAAUAGCAUGGUCAACCAUCCAGUUCCUGUAGCCUUCCAUGUACCUAUGUUAGUUACAUUUUACAUAUUAAGCCACGAAAACGAAGAAUCACAGCCUGGUAAAGAAAGACAUUAAUUAAUAGUUUUUGUUUAAAAAGUUCUCCUUUAGAUCUUUCCUAUUCAAUGAAUCAAUGUAAUCUAAAGAGAAUUCUUCCAUUUCAAACAGUGUUAGAAGGUAUUUGCAAAGCCUAAAGAUAAUAUACAAGGACCAAGAUAUACACAGAUGGUUUCUUUAUGGAAUUAAAGAGCUUUAUAGAUGUUAAAACUGUUUCAAACAAUUUUUCUUGUUUGGUUUAACUAAGGAAAAGCUUGUGGAAGAUUAAAAAUGAUGUUUCCUAUUCUCUGUAGGAAACUUUUAGGAGAUUUUUUGGGCUUUUUUGAAAGGUUGAAUUGUCAAAAAUACCUUGAUGUUAUUGUUUGCUAAAAGAUGUUACGGACAUCUAAACAACCAACAACAUUUUGUUAAAAGCUCUACUAGUGUAGGAUCUACUUAAAGAAGCUAUACCAAACAGACUCUUAGACUGAAUAACUCGAUCUUAAGUUUGUAAAAUUGGGCUCAGAAUCUCCACUAACAACCCCGCUUCGGUGAGAAAGCCCAAGCCUGUUACUUUGUAUAACCUUAUUCUGUAUGUUUGAUUGCAGGAACUGGCCGAUCAUACCGACGAGGUGAGUGUGCAACAUGAGGUGCUUGACGGGAUGUUUACUUUCUAUGAUACAACUAAAGCUAGCCUCAACAUAUAUCAGGUGCCUGCUUGUUUUUACCUUCUAGAUACUAAUAUUGUUUAGACGUGUAAUCUCUCUCUCCAUUGAACGCUAGACGGCUCGUCUCAAGCCUUCUACGUACUUCAGAGUCCUUCACUAGCUUUUUAUGUAUAAAGUUUUGAUCUUUUUCCUUCAUUUGCUUGAAGCUCAUUACUGCAGAUUUUUUUUACAGGUUGGUAGUGUAACAUUCGACUUGCUGUUGCUUCUAGUCUUGGGAUCGUAUUUAAUUGUGCUUUUCAGCUUUCUUGUCAUAACAACUAGGGUAUCACUCUUUCUCCAUAUCAAGCUUGAAGUUCUAAAUUUCAGUUUUAUCUUUUAUUUGAUGUUUUAUAAUUUCAUUGCAAACAGAUUAGAAUAGAAACUUCAAAAGUUCCAACUGACUAGUCCCGUGUAACUUUUUCAGGGAAGAUUUUCUCUCAUAACAACUACGAACGUGUUAUGGUUUAGCCCAGUGACACAAAGGACAGUUUUCAACAAUUGAUCCUAGGAAGAUGCCCAUAGCUUGUUGUGCCAAAAAUAGAAAAUCUAAGAUGCGAAAAAAUUUUGUUGAGAUUCAUUUUUCAUCCUGAUGUUACCGCUGGCCUUUUUUUUUUUUUUUUUUGGCAGAGAAUAAUGCUUAUGUGAUUUCUGAACUUGGUGAUUGUUGAAAUGAGCUGAAAAUGAGCUGGAAAUGUGUUUGGUUAAUGAGAAAGAGAGCAAGAAAAUGAAAGAAAUCUAUUUCACUUUUUAUUUAUCAGCAUGAUUACAUUCACAAUGAAUCUAAGCUGCUAUUUAUACUUAAAUGACUACACACGAGAAUCUUCUUGCUAGAUACUUCUAGAAACUCUACACGCACACUCACACUGAGCUAGUGGUUACCAAAACCGUUACAACGAUAUUGCCAGCUCAGCAUAACCAACUUAUAACUAACACACUCAGCUGCAGGGGAAACCAUCAAGCUUACUGUGCGUCCUCUGUAAUCAAGCUUCUUUAAGCAUGCUCUGCAGAUCAUACGUCUGAAUUAUCGAAACAAGAUGAAUUAUUUUUUGUUUAUUGCAGCAGGCGAUCAAUGAGCGGAAUUUCUAGCUUGUAUUCAAUUCGCGAACACAGUUUGAGAAGAAUCAGACCAUUAAUUUUCUUUUGAGCCAAUCAACAGAAUGUACAUUUCUUCUAAGAACUUGUAACCGAAACCGCAGUUUUUCAGGUUUGAUGCAUCUGGGAAAAUUGUCAGAUGGAAUAAAACCACCAUGCGCCAAGGUACCAAUGAUGUUUCUUCCAGCUUAUGAGCACUUCAAAUAAACUUAGGUCAUAUUUACACAAGGGCGCACAUGAUAUCAAUCUAAUGGCAAUUAUAUCAUCUAAAAUCCAAAACCAAGAGUCUCCCAUUUUCCCGCCCUCUACUCUGUUCGUAUUAUCAUAACUUGAAGAUUGCAAGGCAGCCGCAAUCUCCCAGAUCUUUGCUCCUUCCUCAUAGCAGUUAGUCAAACGAUAAACAGAGAUAUCCCAUGUCAACAAGAAGGUAAUCAUAAAAGAACAACAGAAUUGUUGCAAUAUAUUCAUAUGAAAUGUAAAACAAUUUUGAGAAAAAAUAUUGGGAAGAUGAUUUUUUUUUUCAUAGAAGUUGCAAUCUUUACGUUAUAUGCUAGUUUGACUAUGCUAUAUAAGGAAGCUAUAUGAAAUUAGAAAAAUAAGCUAUACUAGGAAAGAAUAAAUAUAUGUACAGAAAAUGAGGCUAUAAUCCCUGACUUUCAACAAAUUUAAUAUCAAUUUUCUUCUGGAAGUUGUCUCAAAUGGGGUGCAUCAGUAUUGUAACAUACUGUGAGAUGCUUAAACUCAACAAUAUAAGCAUGGUAAAUUAGAGAAAAAUGAUGCAAUUUUACCUUCCCAUUCAUGUAUGCCAAGGCUUUUUGGGCUUCCUCUUCUGUACUGAAAGUCACAUACCCGUAACCUUUUGAUCUAUUCUUACCUUUAUCCAUUAUUAUUGUAGCUGCAAAAAGAAAAGAACCGGAUAUUACAAAAUAGUGAAAGGGAAGAGGGGUUGAGACUUAAAACAGAAAUAGACCAAACCCUCAGUGACUUGGCCAAAUUGUGAAAAAGCAUCAGCUAACAUCUCUUUAGUGGUCGAGAAAGAUACGCCUGCAAAGAAUGCCAGUUAAUUUUAUCAUAAUUAGAUGGUAAGAUUGCAAAUUCUGCAGCCAAAGGUGGUACGGAACUGAAUGAAGGAAAUCAAAUAUGAAUAUGUUUUCAAUCUUAAAAUAUUAAGAGUAGCAUAAGUAACUUGUGAAACAGUUAUAAGUUCAAGGGAAUUAGAUGAUGGCAUGGUUGAAUUUUAUAAAUAUUUGAUAUUUUGGACCGAACAGGGCAAACAGAUGGAUCCAGAUAAUCAAGAAAAACAUCAAUUCCAUGCAGCCAAAUUAGUGUGGGCAAUGCAAUUGAGCAACACUAUAAAAUUAUUCAAAGAAAUCUCUAGGUCAGUAUCCAAAUAUAUGGCUCCGUCCGUUCCACCACCACAACCAAAAAAAUCAGAUCCCCCCAUUUGGAUUCGAUUGAUUAAUUUGAGCAUAAAAAAUCGGGUUUUAAACUUCCCUAAGCAAAAUUUAUAUUCCACAGAAUCAGUUCCUUUAACAUGAUGCAUUACAUAAUAUUUUGUUUGCAAAAUAAAGAAGAAAGAUGACAUAAUAGAAACACUCACAGAGAGAGAAUACCUUUGACGAAAAGCUUAGAAGUGAAUCCUCUGUAAAAUACGAGUUGAGCUGCUGAAUUUUUCGAGUUUGAAUGAGAGACUGCGGCAAUUCUGAAAAUGUUUUUUUCUCAUUAGCGCCGCCAUUUUUGUAAUAGAGGGUAAAGAAAUAAGUAACAAAGUAAGAGGUGAGCAGAAGCGGCCCAAUUUAGUUAUAUGCCAUGCAUGCGAUCAAAAUUGAAUGGUUAAAUGGCAGCCACUAUGUUACAUCUUGUGUAAGUAACAAACCGCCUACAUGGAUCGUUGGAUUUGGGAAUAUGAAAUCCAAUGGAUAAUAUUGAAUUUAACGAAAAAUAGAUUACAGGUUGCAUUAGUCCAAGUUUAUUUCAAACAAACCAGCUGAUGAAAUAGCCGCUAAUCGAAUUUAAAAGGGAAAAAAAAUCAAAUUAUAGGUUAUAGAUCUUAUUUCCAUCUUAAAUCUAUGUCUUUCAUGGUGACUCAAUGUGUAUACUAAUUUAUAAUUUGGAUCUAUAUUAGAGGCUUAGAGCCAAUGCUUCCCUAAAUAACUAAGAAAAUUUUCUUUUCAUUGAUUAAAUAUUUAUUUCCAAUAUCUUGUAUAUGUAGGAUUUGAAAAGAGGGAAAAUAGUAGGGAUGAUGAUGAGAGAAGAUAAAGAUGUCGAUUCUCAAAUCUAAUAUUAAUGCUAUACUUAUAUUCCUAUAGUAAAUAAAUUAUCCAAGGUUCGUGGUUAAUGAUACGUUGCGAAAUUUUAACUGUCUAAUAUGGCUUUUCAUAAAGCUUAGAGAAAAGUAGGGCUUUUACAAAAAAAAAAAUUUAAUUAGAAUUGUCAAUGAUAAAUUUUAAAAAGUACUUUAAUAAAUAAGCUUUUAAAAUUAUAUAUAUUAUGAAAGAAAUGAAAUAAGAUUAUAUAAUAAAUUAAGAGUAUCUUAGAUAAUUGAACUUUAAAAAUAAAACUUGCUAAGAGGUUUAAAAUUUGAGUUUUUAAUAGUGGAUACAAAAUAGUUUAUUUAAUUCUCAAAAGUACUAUUCAAAAUACAACCAUGUAACACAAAAAUUUUUAAUAAGUUUUUUGGACUAGUUAAGUACUUUUUUUGAAAAAAAAUAUAUUUUUUUCAUUGAGUAAAUAAUACUAAACAUGCACUAAAGUGUUAGGACCAGAAGUUGUACAAAUAAAACCAUGAAAUUAUAUGUUGUUGGAUGGAUAUUUUUCAAAUUUGCUGUAGUUUUUUUUUUUUAAUUUUCUGCUGGGAAAUUGAAAUGAUGGCUACAACUUAAAUUAUGAAUGGAGUAAUCGGAGAAUAUUGAAACCCAUUUAAUUUGGAUCGUGCAUUGAGGGACGAAAGGAUAAAAAAUUUAAUUUUGAAAUUGCUGUUGGGUACGGUACAAUGACUUACCGUUGACAGCUUUUGCAACCGGAUUACAAUCGGUUAGUUCAAUAAUUUUAUAUCCCUAUUUAACCGCCACGUGCUGCUGUUACAUGGGUCAAUUAAUCAUGUCUUUACCGAUACUUACAACUGCUGGUUAAAUUCUGUUGUUUCCAAUAAUUUUAUGCUGUAUCUUCUUUAAUAAUAAAGAAAACUUGCAUUAAAAUUAAAAUUAGGGUAAUACCUGAUUUUAUAAAUAGAUUGCAAUGUAAUUUUGAAAAAUAAAACAAUAAUUUACAAAAUGUUUAUAACAUAAUUUUAAUUUUUUUCAAAAAGGAAAAACAACAAAAGUAAGAAAUAGAGAAUAAGGGCUACCAACUUUGUAUCUUAAACGGCCGUUAAAUUAUUUGUAAAUGAAAGCAACGGUCAGAUAUUGGUGGAUUAUGGAAACAUGUAAUCAUAAGGACUACGAGUUUUUUUUGUUACAUUGAUAUAUUACAAUUAAAAUUCUAUUGGUAUUUACAACUAGAAUUUCAUCUGACUAUCUUUGAUAAUUCUAAACUAGUACAGCCCAAAUUCUUAUUCUCAUAUAAUAUCAAAGAUAGAUAUAUAUUCUUUUCCUCCAUUAAUAACGAGACAUUUUUACUUCUAUCCAAUUUAAAUAGAACAAGAAUUAAGUCAUUUUAAUAGUUAGGACUCAGAACUCAUACACACUAGUUUGAGAGUGUGGGGUGUGACAAUGGGCCAAGAGACCAUUGACAAGUACAAAAGAGUGGUAGAAAUUAAUUCAAACCGCUACACACGCUAUUGCAACCAAAUUGAGGGCCCAUUUUUGUUUAUUUCGUUGAAAAGUAGUCUGUAAAAUUAACUCAAACCGCUACAUACGCUAUUGCAACCCAAUUGAGGGCCCAUUUUUGUUUAUUUUGUUGAAAAGCAGUUUGCGCAAUUAAUUCAAACUGCUACACACGCUAUUGCAUCUUUUGAAAAAGAAAAAUGGAAUAGUUUUUCAAAAUUAGUUUAGAGAAUAAGAUUUACUAAUAAUGAUGUUAGAAAUCUUAAUAUUUGAAUCUUAAUAUUAUCUAUCACUCGUUUAUUAAAUAAUAGAUUUCAUAGUUUGUAAAAUUACUUAACCACUUGAUAAAUGUUAUAUUUGUUGGGACUAGAUUGGGACUUAAAUAUUGGAAUAUCUAGUAUUGCAUAAAAAAAAAAAAACUUAACAAUUUAUCUUCACACGACUAAUUGUUUUUACAUCACAACUAACCUUAAUUAUUUUAAAAGUUAUAGUAUUAUUAAAUUGCCCUAACUAGUUAUCAAAAGGUGAAAGCAUGUUUAAAAAAGAAAUUACUAAGAAACAUUUGUUUAAACGAAGGUUAAGGUUAUGAUCAAUUAAUUAAGAAGAAACUUACUAUCAAAGGUUAAGAUUAUGAACAAUUUAAGGAAGUUAUUGAGUAGAGAAAGGGACAGAAUGGUUGUCUGAUUUGUCGGUGACAAGAAUGCUUGUGUUGUGAAAAGAAAGCCGAUGGUUUGUAAAUUUGUUGAAUUGGUCCCAAUUAGUAUAGUAACCAUCUAUUGAGCGGUAAAAUAUUAAUUUAAAUAGUCAUGAAAUCUAAUAUAUAAUAGAUUACUAACACACAUAAAUUAAAACUUAAUUGUCAGAAAUCAUAACAUUAUUCUAAGCUUCAGUGGAGUUCUCUUAACAGAUUAUGUGAGAUUGCCUAUAUUAAAAAUAUGUUGAGACUGCUUGUUGAAAGCAAUAUUCGCUUUUCCAUUAUAUCCAUAACUUUGAAUUGAUAAAGUUGUAUUCAGCAGCUCUUGAAAAGACUAAUUUAUUUUAACUAGUCAUAGAAAUAAGAGAGAAAAGGGGCUAUUUCUUGACUCAAAGUCAAUUAUAAUUAUCAAAACUUGAGGGGACAUCGCAUGCCUAAAUUCCACGCACCCUAAUACGGUUUGAUUUGCUUUCACGCGUUCAUGAAUUUCCAUGAAAGAGCCUGCCUUUCGUCUCUUUCGGGACAGUGACUACAAUAAUGGAAAAAAUUAUAAUUCUCGUUAGAUUGUAACCAAAUUAUUAUCCCUAAUUUUUUUAAGUUACAUAUAAUAAAAUUCAUGCUUAAGUAUUUAGUAAUUAGAGAGAGAUAGAGAGGAUUGAGGGCCAAUGUUUCGCGAUUUGGGGUCAAUUCAAAGUCAACUAACGUGAAAAACACGUGUAUGCAUAGAAAACGCUUAGAUUAUUUGUGUUCCAAGUGCAAGAAAUUAAGAAAAGAAAAAUUGAUUUCCUUUCAUGAACUUCCAAGAAAGAAAGAAGACCCUUCACCUUCUUCGUUACAACAAAUGAAUGAAUGAUGUUGAUAUGACAAAUACAAGCGCUAUUACAGGGAACAACAUAAGACUGAGACUUGAUAAAGUGUUUGUUAAAUUACAUGUUAUUUUCUUUUAACUUGAAUGAUGUUGAAAAUAAAAUAAAAUAAAAUUGUAAUCAGGGUGAUGUGUGGAAUAUAGUGAAAUAAAUAAAUAGAGAAGAGAAAUUUGUUGAUCAAUAUUAAAGACACAUCCAAAGUGAUCGUCAAAGUCUAGAGGUUCGGUAUGAUUAGCAUUUAUUUUAUUUUUUUUGGCUUAGCAUCAUAUAUAGUCACCUGUCGUGUGAUCUAGGACAGGUUUAGAAAUCCUUUUAUUUUAACUUCUGUAUUCUUAUUAUUUAAUUAGUUAUAGGGUUUUUAAGUAUUUGAGUAUUGAUCACAUGUCUCCUAAUCUAAAAAUAUGUUUUUACGAGUACAAAUAACAAACUAGGAUUUUAACAGCCUUUUAUACUAAACCCUAAAAAUACAUGAAUUUAUCAAAAUAAGUAAAUUAAUUUAAAUUAGUAUGGCAUAGUAGAAGUUUUACCUGCCGAAACAAAUUAAAAAAAUAUUACACUUAAAUCAAAUAUUGACAAAAAUAGAUAACAAUCUAAUGAGAAUCUUAACUAGACAUUUUUACUUCUAUCCAAUUUAACUGGAAUGAGAAUUAAGUCAUGUCAAUAGUUAGGACUCAUAACUCAUACACACUAAUUUGAGAGUGUGGGGUGUGACAAUGGGUCAAAAGACCAUUGACAAGUAUAAAAGAGUGGUCGUAAUUAAUUCAAACCGCUACACACGCUAUAUUGAGGGCCCACUUUUGUUUAUUUCGUUGAAAAGUAGUUUUCACAAUUAAUUCAAACUGCUACACAUGCUAUUGCGUUUUUUUUUUUUUUUUUUUUUUUGAAGGGAAGCAAUUUCAUUAAACCAAAACGAAUUACAGACUAUGUAAUAACCACAAAGGUGGAACGAAAUUCCACUCUUGGGGACCUGACAUAGAACCUACUGCCCUUGCAACAGAGUGAGCAGCCAGGUUCGUAGACCGACGUACAAACGAGAAUUGUACUUCUCCUAAAGACUUAGCUAAAGCUCGACAUUCAUCAACUAUUAAACCAAAACCGUUAGGCCCUGAAAACUCCUCAACUAGAGCUUGAAAUACUUGUAAACAAUCAGUUUCAACAAUGACACAAGGAAAUUGUAAGCCUUUAAGCCAACUAAGGGCCUCCCGAAUACCAAGAGCUUCAGCCUCCCUUGCUCCAAAAUUCCCAGCCAUUCCAGCACAUCUUGCUGUUAAGAAAACACCCUCUGAAUUUCGAAGCACACACCCAAAACCAAUAUUUCCCUGAGAUGAAAAGAUAGCAGCGUCAACAUUACGUUUGACCCAACCAAACUUUGGCCUCUCCCAACAUAUUGCCCCAUGGACCAGCUUAUGGACAUCAGUAUCAGCAUAGAAUUGUUGCUUCUUUGCUGCUUGCCACUGAUAGAGAAGUUGCCCAGCAGAAUUGAGCACUUGAUUCACUGAACCAGUUUUGUUAUUCCAUACUUUGUCAUUCCGAUUAAUCCAAACUCUCCAGCAGAUCAUCAUGGCAACAUGGCAUUCUUCUUUGCUGCAGCGUGUAAAGAUGUGAUCAAGCCACUCUAAGAAAGAAUAACAAUGGCCAACAAAACCCACAGAGGAAGAAAUCCAGCAAGCCUUAGCAACAUUACACUCAACCAACGAAUGGAGAAUAGUUUCAUCAGAAGCAAGACACACAGCACAAGUAGGGGGGAUAUUCACCCUCUUAGAAAUUAAAUUAACUGCAGUAGGCAGCACAUUAGUUGCCGCUCGCCAAACAAAAUUCUUAACCUUAUUCGGCACAUUCAAGUUCCAUAGUUUUCGCCACACAUCUGUGAAAGGGCCAGGGGUAAGAGAAUGUAAAACGUUAUAACAGCUACGGACUGAAUAGCAUCCGCGAGAAUCAGCCAACCAAUACCACACAUCAUCAUUUCGGCGGGAACUAAGGGGAAUUUGAAGAAUCAACUCCUUGUCUCUUGCGUUGAAAAGAUCCAAAACAAGAUCAUAAUCCCAAGCUCGUUGAUUAGGCACCAGUAAACUACUAACAGGAGCUGCAGCAAGCUCGGCAUGGAGAUUAGAAGGAACAAAUCCAUUAUUAGUAUCAGGAAGCCACGGAUCCUUACCAAUGAAGAUCGAAUUUCCACAGCCAACUUGCAGUCUACUCCCUUGAAUUACCACAUCCUUUGCAGCCAAAAUAGAGCGCCACAUAUAGCUAGGAUUAUGCCCCGCAGAAGCUUGAAGAACAGAGGUGCGCGGAUGGUAGCGAGCUUUAAUUAUCUUGGCCACAAGAGAUUCCGGACAAGUUAACAGCUUCCACAUUUCCUUUCCUAACAUCGCUAUAUUGAAUAAAUGAAGUUGUUUAAAACCAAGGCCACCAUAUCCUUUUGGUUUGCACAGAUUUUCCCAUUUGGACCAGUUUAAAAAAGAAAAAUGGAAUAGUUUUCCAAAAUUAAUUCAGAGAAGAAGAUUUACUAAUAAUGAUGUUAGAAAUCUUAAUAUUAUGUAUCACUCAUUUAUUAAAUAAUAGAUUUCAUAGUUUGUAAAUUUACUUAACCACUUGAUAAAUGUUAUAUUUGUUUGAAUUGAUCCAAUAGCUCUUGAAAAGCACAUAAUAAUCAUUAUAAAUUUAAUCAAAGACUAAGCAGGUCUUCUUUGCAUUUGAUCACUGGCAUUUCAGUUAAGUUUGUCAUUUAUUUAAAUUUUUCUUGCUUUCAAUUUCCACUGUUGUUUUUUUUAAUAAAAUAAUUUAUUUAAACUAGUCAUAGAAAUAAGAGAGAAAGGGCGCCAUUUCUUGACUCAAAGUCAAUUAUAAUUAUCAAAACUUGAGCGGACAUUGCAUGCCUAAAUUCCACGCACCCUAAAACGGUUUGAUUUGCUUUCACGCGUUCAUGAUUUUGCAUGAAAGAGAGUGCCUCUCGUCUCUUUCCGGACAGUGACUGCAAUUAUGUUAACGUGACGAAUACAAAACGUUAUUACAUACAAGAAUAAGUUUUUGGAGCCGAUACUUGAGGGAGGUUCUAUCUAAUUCUAAAGAUUGUAACCAAAUCAUUAUCCCUAAUUUUUUUAAGUUAAAUAAAAUAAAAUUCAUGCUUAAGUAUAAAUAAUUUUUUUAAGUUAAAUAUAAAAUAAAAUUCAUGAACUUCCUAGAAAGAAAGAAGACCCUUCACCUUCUUCGCGACAACAAAUGAUGUUGACAUGACAAAUACAAGCUCUAUUACAGGGAACAGCAUGAGACCGAGACUUGAUAAAUAUUAAAUAUAUAAAAUAAGUGGAGCAAACGAACAGAAUAAUAGAUUUUUAUAAUAUUCUUCAUAAAAAUCCAAGUUUUGAGCUGGCCUAUAAGCUUAUCUAGUGAAGUCUGGGUAUCCGCGUUGCCCAAGGUUCCGUUUGAAUCCAGGCCGUGUAGAUGUUUAAGACAUCGCAUAUGGACGGAGUGGAAAUAUUUUCAGUUGACUGAAUUAAAUAAAAAUAUAUUACAAUCAUAUUAUAUAUUAGCAGCAAAAAUAAAAAGAAAUGAAGAAAAACGCAUGCAAGACUUAGACAAGUCAAUUAAAAGCUGGGAGUAUCAUCAGUUCAAUUGAUUAUAAAUAGCGUAGAGCCAUCCUCUCGUUGUUGCAGAACUGAAGCAAAGAGACUCAGAAAGAGUGUGUGUAGGUGAUUAUAAUUAAGAAGAUAUAAUGUGUGGUUCAAAAAGAGUGUGGGUGAGUGAGUUAAUUUUCAUAUUAUUAGUAGUAAAAGGGUGGUGGAGUGAGGGAUGUUUGGAGCAAGAGAGGUCUGCUCUCCUACAACUCAGACAUUUCUUCAAUGAUGAUCAACUUCUUCAAAACUGGGUAGACGAUGAGUAUUAUUCAGAUUGUUGUCAGUGGGAACGGGUUGAGUGCAACGACACCACUGGAAGAGUGAUUGAAUUACAACUACUAGAAACUCGAAAACAGGGAUCAGCAGAGUGGUAUAUGAAUGCCUCUCUGUUUACUCCAUUUCAACAAUUAGAGUCUCUUGAUUUAAUGGGGAACAAUAUAGCCGGUUGUGUUGAAAAUGAAGGUCCUUAAUUUACUCUAUUUUAAUUCUUCCUCGUAAUUUCUUACAUUUAUCUGAUCCCUUUUGAUUUUUGUUUAAUUUAUUCGUGAUACAAUAAAAUUACUUUUUAUUUUUUGUCAGGUCUAGAUAGGUUAUCAAGGUUGAACAACUUGAAGUUUCUUUACUUAAACCUUAACCACUUCAACAACAGCAUCUUUUCAUCCAUAGGUGGUCUUUCAUCACUCAGACGCUUAUCAUUGGCUAGUAAUGAAUUGAAUGGAAGUAUUGAUAUUAAAGGUAAGCAAGCUUCAUCCCUUCUCCCGUGUCCCAUCUUUUGUGGAUCUUAUUUUAUUGACCGGCUGGAAGUAUUGAUAUAAGAUCUGGCUAGACUCUUGCUAGUUUAAGCUUCAAGGAUUUAAAUAUUAUAAAAAUAGGUUUAAGAAAUUAUCAAUAUAUGCAAUUUUCAAUGCUUCUCAUAAUCAGACACAAUUCAAUCUAAUUAUUUUGUAUGUCCUGUCUUCAAAAGUAAAGAAUUGUACACUAAAUGGAAAUCGACAUCGUAGCUUUUUAUUUUUUCUAAUGCUCUUUUUUCGUUAACGAGUUUAUAUCCUAAGAGGGAUUGGAUUGAAAAAAAAAAAAGUUUUGAUGUUCAAGGUAGGCCAUAAUAACCCGCAUCUUAUUUGUCUGCCUGUAUCUAAAUUUGUGCACUGAAUUUAGUAUUUUGGUUAUUGUGAAGGGAUCAGAUAUUGGCUUCCAUAGACCAACUUGUAUUUAGUUAAUUAAUUAAUUAACGACAUUUAAUAUUUAACAAAUUAAAAUUUCGUGUUUAAUCUAUUUUAAUUUUUUUAAGAAAAAAGAAAAAGAUAUAGCAAUAGGUAAAGCUAAAAUAAAUUUUAAUUCCUUACAAAUUUAAAUUCAUGGUUGUCAGCUAAAUAUACUUACUUAAAGCCACUCAGUCGAGCCCUUUGAGAGCUGCUUUAAAUUUUUAGCCAUAUUCUUUUCUUAUUAAUAAAAUUCUUUUCGCUGAGAUUUAACAUAAAAAAAGGAGAAAAUAAGUUAUUUAAUUAACUCUGUUUUAAGUGUUGGAAUAAAUACAGGACUGGAAUCCUUGAGUAACUUGGAGGAGCUGGGCAUGAGCGACAAUGCAAUCGACAAUCUAGUGGUUCCUAAAGGUAUACAAAAUGUUCAAAUAUUAAUAAUUUGGAGGACAGUUUAAUUGAUUUGAUUAGGGAAUGCCCAAUGACACUUACCCAAAAUAAUUUAAUCCGAAAUUGUAUCCCAAAUAGAUUACAGAGGUUUGAGGUAGUUGAAUACCUUUUAUUUGGGGAGGGGGGGGGGGGGGAGGGAGGGAAAUUGCAGUGAUAUAUGGAAGCAAGGUGUUGCAAUAAAUAAAGAAAUUCGUUGGUCAAUAUUCAAGGACUCAUCCAAAGUAAUCGUUAAAGUCUAAAGGUCUGCUCUCCUCCAACUCAAACAUUUCUUCAAUGAUGAGAAUUAUUCAGAUUGUUGUCAGUGGGAAGGGGUUGAGUGCAACAACACCACUGGCAGAGUGAUUAAAUUAGAUCUAGGAGCCACUAGAAAUCGGGAAUCAGCAGAGUGGCAUAUGAAUGCUUCUCUGUUUUCUCCAUUUCAACAAUUAGAAUCUCUUGAUUUAACUGGGAACAAUAUAGCCGUUUGUGUUGAAAAUGAAGGUCCUCAAUUUACUCUACUCUAAUUCUCCCUCGUAAUUUCUAGCAUUUAUCUGAUCCCUUUUAGCUUGUGUUUAAUUUGUACGUGAUACAAUAAAAUUAGGUUUUAUUUUUUAUUUUUUAUUUUUUGGCAGGUCUAGAUAAGUUAUCAAGGUUGAACAACUUGAAGUCUCUUUAUUUAGACUUUAACCACUUCAACAACAGCAUCUUUUCAUCUCUAGGUGAUCUUUCAUCACUCAAACACUUUUCAUUGGCUGGUAAUGAAUUGAAUGGAAGUAUUGAUAUUGAAGGUGAGUAAGCUUCAUCCCUUCUCCCGUGUCCCAUCUUUUGUGGAUCUUAUUUCAUUGAGCAGCUGGAGGUACUGAUGUUAGAUCUAGCUAGACUCUUGCUAGUUUAGGCUUCAAGGCUUCGAUUACUAUAAAAAUAGGUGUAAGAAAUCAUCAAUACAUGCAAUUUUCAGUGCUUCUCAAAAUCAGACACAGUUUAGUCUAAUUAUUUUGUAUGUCCCGUCUUUAAAAGUAAAGAAUUGUAUUGUAAUUGGAAAUCGACAACGUAGCUUUUCAUUUUCUGUAAUGCUCUUUCUUCGUUAACAAGUUUAUAUCUUAAGAGAGAUUGGAUUCGGAAAAAGUUUUCACGCUCAAGGUAAGCCAUAAUAACUUCUUUCUUCGUUAACAAGUUCAUUAGUUCAAUUGGCAACUGUUUUUUAAGUUUUUCUGGUUAGCCGUAUACUUUUUUGCUUAUUAAUAAAAUUCUUUUGCGCCGAGAUUUAAAAAUAAAGGAGGAGAAAAUAAGUUAUUUAAUUAACCUUGUUUUAAGUGUUGGCAUAAAUACAGGACUGGAUUCCUUGAGUAACUUGGAGGUGCUGGACAUGAGCUUCAAUGCAAUCGACAAUCUUGUGGUUCCUAAAGGUAUACAAAAUGUUCAAAUAUUAAUAAUUUGGAGGACAAUUUAAUAGAUUUGAUUAGGGAAUGCCCAAUGACACUUAUCCAAAAUAAUUUAAUCCGAAAUUGUAUCCCAAAUAGAUUACAGAGGCUUGAGGAAGUUGAAUACCCUUGUCUUAGGGGGAACGGAAAUUGCAAUGAUAGAUGGAAGUAAGGCGUUGCAAUCAAUAGGAUCACUACUGUCCCUCAAAACACUUUACCUUUUGUAUACUAAUUUUACAGGAACAGUAGUUAAUCAAGGUAAGUAAAUCUUUUAUGUCGAAAAUAAUUGAAUUAAUAUAUAUAGCUAAAAUUUAUUGUUUCUAUUUCUUUCUAAAUAGAAUUACACAAUUUCACCAACUUGGAAGAAUUGAUAUUGGUCGAGUCUGAUCUCCAUGUAAGCCAGCUUCUGCAAAGCAUCGCAUCAUUCACUUCGUUAAAGUAUUUGUCAAUGCAAGUUAGUGUACUCAAGGGUGCCCUGCAUGGUCAAGGUAAAUUACGGGUAUCUGAAGCUUUUGUGAUAUUAAUUCGAUAAUGAUUCUUUCUUUUCAAGUUUAUUUUCUCCCGUAAAAUAAUAUUUUUUUCUUUUAAAUUUUAUAUACUUUCACUGUCCAAUAGUUCUACCUUCUCUAAAUUGUAGGAUUCUUGAUUAAGGUUAAUGAAUUUUUAGUUCUGUUAUGUUAAGAAUAUUUCGAUCGCUUAGAAGAGUAAGGAAAAAUAAGUAAAUUAACCCAAAAAAGAGAAAAGAACAGGACCGGAUUAUCCUUAUUCCCUUGCAUUAUGUGAUCAAUAUCAAAAUUAUAACCAUUUCUUGUUUAUUGCUUGUAGAUUUUCAUAAAUUCAAGAAUUUGGAACAUCUGGACAUGGAUUGGGUGCAGGUUAACGUCAACACCAGUUUUUUUCAAAUUGUCGGCGAAUCGAUGCCUUCUCUCAAGUUUUUAUCACUGGCAAAUUCAAGUCUUAAUAAAAACACCAUUCUUGAUCAAGGUUAAUUAAUGAUUCUCCUUCUCCCUCUCUCGCAUCAUAACUAAAUUUAAUUGAGAAUAUCUAUAAUGCUAGCUAUUUAUAAACUUAAUGAAAGUUGAUGAGGAGCCAUAUUAAUGACAAAAACAACUGUAAAAUAGUGCGCUGUUGUAGCGUUGAUUGAAAAAUAAUGCUAAUGUUUUACUUAACAACACUAUAAGUGAUCAAACUUAAUUUUUAAUGUGUACUUUAAAGAUUUUAUGCAAUUAUUUAAGUUUUAUGCAAUUAUAUUUUUCAGGACUUUGUCGGUUAGUGCAUCUGCAAGAGUUAUACAUCAGCGGUAAUGAUUUGAGAGGUAGCUUGCCAUGGUGCUUGGCAAACAUGACAUCCCUCCAAGUGUUAGAUGCCUCUUCUAAUCAACUUACUGGAAACUUUUCCCCAGGCCUUUGUGAGUUGGUGCUUCUGAGAGAGUUAUACAUUCACAACAAUGAUUUAAGAGGUAGCUUGCCUUUGUGCUUGGCAAAUUUGACUUCCCUUCGAGUAUUAGAUGUCUCUUACAAUCAACUUACUGAAAACAUCUCAUCUUCCCUCAUGCAUCUAAUAUCUAUGGAAAAGCUCAUACUUUCAAAUAAUCACUUCUUCCAAAUCCCUAUUUCACUUAAACCACUUUUCAAUCUCUCAAAACUCAAGACUUUCGAGGGUGAAAUAUGCGCAGAAACUGAGUCACAUUAUAAUUCUUUGACCCCAAAAUUCCAAUUGACUUCUAUCUCACUGUCUGGUUACAUAGAUGGUGGCACAUUUCCCAAAUUCUUGUACCAUCAGCAUGACUUGAAGAAUGCUGAUCUCUCACACCUUAACUUGAGUGGAAAUUUUCCAAAUUGGUUGGUAGAUAACAAUACGAACUUAGAGACGCUUCUUCUUGCCAACAACUCUCUUUUUGGAUCAUUUCGGAUGCCAAUUCAUUCCCACCAAAAAUUGGCAAAAUUGGAUGUCUCCAACAAUUUCUUUCAAGGCCAUAUUCCGGUGGAAAUCGAAACAUAUCUGCCAGUCUUAAUGGGUUUAAACUUAUCUAGAAAUGCUUUCAACGGUAGUAUUCCCUCUUCAUUUGCUGAUAUGAAAAUGUUGGAAAGGUUGGACAUAUCCUACAAUCAGUUGACUGGUGAAAUCCCUGAGCGCAUGGCCACGGGUUGCUUCUCAUUGGAAAUUCUUGCAUUGUCAAACAACAGUUUGCAAGGUCAUAUAUUCUCUAAAAAAUUUAACUUGACAAAUUUAUUAAGGUUGCAGUUGGAUGGUAAUAAUUUCAUUGGAGAGAUCCCAGAAAGCUUAUCUAAGUGCCGUUUGUUAGGAGGAUUAUAUCUGAGUGAUAAUCAUCUCACUGGUGAGAUUCCAAGAUGGUUGGGUAAUUUGUCAUUUUUACAAGAUAUUAUAAUGCCCAAUAACAAUCUUGAAGGGCCAAUUCCAAUCGAGUUUUGUCAGCUUGAUUCUCUGAAGAUUUUAGACCUUUCAAACAAUAGUAUUUUUGGAACUUUACCAUCUUGUUUUAGUCCAGCAUCUAUCGAACAAGUUCAUUUGUCGAAAAACAAGAUAGAAGGACGGUUGGAAAGUAUAAUCCAUGACAGCCCCAAUUUGGUGACAUUAGAUCUCAGUUAUAACCGCUUACACGGAAGUAUUCCAAAUCGGAUUGACAGACUACCUCUGUUAAGCUACCUUCUUUUAGCUAAUAAUUAUAUUGAAGGCAAAAUACCAGUUCAAUUAUGCCAGUUGAAGGAAGUGCGGUUGAUUGAUCUUUCUCAUAAUAAUCUAUCUGGUCAUAUUCCUCCUUGCUUGGUUAACACUUCACUCAGUGAAGGUCAUCAUGAGGCAAUAGCUCCAACUUCUAGUUCGCGGGAUCAAGCGUCUGCCUCUGUACUUCCAUCUGAGGCUCCAAAUGGAUCUCCGAUGGGAAAGGAAGAAACUGUACAGUUCACAACAAAGAAUAUGUCCUACUAUUAUCAAGGAAGAAUUUUGACGAGUAUGUCUGGGAUUGAUCUUUCUUGUAACAAACUGAUAGGUGAGAUUCCUCCUCAAAUUGGAUAUCUUACAAGGAUUCAUGCGCUAAAUCUAUCUCAUAACAAUUUGACGGGCACAAUCCCGACAACAUUUUCAAACCUGAAGCAAAUCGAAAGCUUGGACCUCUCCUACAACCUAUUGCAUGGGAAAAUCCCUUCUCAGCUCACUGUGCUAACUACAUUGGCGGCCUUCAGAGUAGCAUACAAUAACUUAUCAGGCAAAAUUCCGGAUAGAGUUGCACAAUUUUCAACUUUCGAGGAAGAUAGCUAUGAGGGGAAUCCUUUUCUUUGUGGAUGGCCACUGUCUAAAAGUUGCGAUGAUAAUGGAUUAACAACAGUGACAACAGAAGCUUACACUGAAAAUGAAGAAGUUGAUAGUUUAAUUGACAUGGACAGUUUCCUGAUCACUUUUACAGUAUCUUAUGGAAUUGUGAUAUUAGGAAUUAUUGGAGUUUUGUACGUAAACCCCUAUUGGCGGCGAAGUUGGUUUUACCUUGUUGAAGUAUGUAUGACCUCUUGCUACUAUUUUGCAGCAGACAAUCUUGUUCCUAGAAAAUUCUAUGGUGGAUGGAUGUAAUUUCAUUACAUUACAACUUAUAUGUAAUUUUCAAAGAAUUUUCUUUUGCAUGCAUGGAAUAGCAACUCAAUAAAAGUAUUUGAUGCAAAUUGUCCAAGAACAACUUAGUAAUUUCAUUGCUACUAUUCGGUUGUAUGUAUACAGUUAAUGAAAUUUUUAACCAUUCGCAGAAUACCCUUAGGAAUUUCUUUAGAUGGCGGCAAAAAACUAAGAGAUUCGGGGCUCUACACGGUCUGAAUGAAGAUUAACUUAAUGCCCUCAGGAUUAUGUGUAAGUUCUCUUUUAAAUUUAAGGGGUUGAGAUUUCAGGUCCGGAUGAAAGUUGAAUGCAGGUGACGAGACUUCACUGGGACAAACUUAAAAUAAAAAAUUAUAGUCCACAGUAAGAGCAAUGGGUAGCUUAACUUAUGGAAGAUAACUAGAACUUGGAAUAACUUAAAUUAGCUAUAAAAUUAAGACCAUUAUACAACUAAAAAGAAAGAAAAAUUGUUUGCUACUACAUAUCAAAACUAGUAAUAGCAAUGAAAGAUGGCAGACUUCUUACUUAAACAGAUGAGAGGCUACAAAUAAAAAAUUUGUGCAAAUAAAUAUAUGAUAAAGAGCAUAAUACUUUCUUGGGGGCUAAAAAUAAUAUACAACUUGUGAAAUAUAAAUUGAGCUACCGUUACCUUUUAGAUGUGGCAACUUUCGACUUUUGAGGCACUUUGGAAUAUGCAUUCAGAAUCCUGCAUUUGGAAGCCAAAUAAAUAAUGUUAAUAACAAUUUUACAAUAGAAAAAUUAAAAAUUGAUAAAUGGCAGUUGUAAUUUAUGUAUGUGUAAAGAUAGCAUCACAUCCAGGGUCCUCCCAUAAACAUGCUUGUAACAAGAAUUAGUUUGCCUCAACUGCUAGCAACUAUACAAUAGUAAAAAUCACUCUUAUGAACUCAACAAUACUAGGCACCAAUAAGAGUAUGAUACAGCCAUUCUAAAUGGAAGAGAAUACAACUGUUUUACAACUAUGUUGCAUCAGGAGAUAUGUUAGGAGUUUUAAUCCAGAUACCUUCCAACCCAAUUAGGAAAACUCGAGUCAGAAACCAGGAGCUGCAACCGAACCUUACAAUCUUGAAGGAAGAAGGAGACUUGGGGCAUUUUUCUAGAUAGGUGACUUACUAGAUCUACUGCCAAGAAAAUAUCUAUUGCUUUGAACCUCCAUUGAAAUUUCUUUUCCCUUUUUCUUAUUUUGACUUGGAACUUUCCAGCAUCAUCUAUUUGAUCUUUUUUAAAGCUAAAAUAGCAAUCUACGGGUUGUCAACAUCUUAUCCCCCCCCCCCCCCCCCGAGGGGCCCCCAAAAAAAAAAACAUCAAUGAGUUGUCAAUAAAUAGCGCCUACUCAACUUAUGUUCUCCAAUGGAUGACAAUGUGCAAAUCGACCUAGCAGCCACAUUUUUCCCCCCUUUCAACCACCAUUAGGCAACUUUUCUAACCUUUCUUCAUUGCCCACGUCUACAGAACUAUCAUAUAAAGACUACAAGAUAGACGCACGGUAUCUAAAUAAUUGUACCAACCCCCUCUCCUGAUUGUCAUAAAACGGCCAAUAUUUAACGCUCGACAACAAAAUUGCAAAUACUCUAGCCUCUAUAUUAUUGGCAUAUAAAUAUUUUCGGUUAGGUACAUUAUAUUCUUCGUUCUAAAACCUCAAUUAUUAGCUAGUACUGUGAUAAAAUGAUUCAUCACUGAAAUUAAAACUAGUUCACGUACAAAUAAUCAAAACUGAAAUAGAAGCAACGAUAAACCAACCUGUAUUACGUCGAUUCAUCACAACAAACUGAAAUCGAGGCUGUGUGUUCCUGAAAAUUGAAAAAAAUAAUAAUUUCACCAACUUCAUAUGUAAUACAAUCUCCAAAACACUGAAUAUCAAAUGAAAAAAUGGAAAGCAUAAGAUAGAAAAGAAUCUAAUUUUAUUGACCUUUUGACGACGACGAGAGAGCCUUCAACAUCCUUACGACUCCAUUGGCUGAGGUCGAUGUUGAACUCGUAGAAGGUGACAUGAGCGGCCGUGAUGAGGAUCUCCUCAAUGAAUGGAUCGAUUCGCUGAAGAACUGUCAGGUUCAGGAGUUUUGUGCUCUGCUGGUCCAGAUUAAGCAUCAAUUUUCCGUUAUGCGACAUUUUUCAUAGUCGUUUUGGGCUCUGCCCCGAGCACAAGCCCCAGGGUUUUUCUGUGAGCUCUCUCUUUUGUAAAUAAAGUGUUUGAUGAGAUAGCCGAGAGAGAGUGAAAGUGUUGAACAGCCAAACACGGUCUCGAGAUUGAUC
rnacentral:lncRNA from 1 species